rnacentral:tRNA from 1 species
GAGAAAAGAUAUUCAAAAAUAAGCUGCUAACUUAAUUUUUUAACGGUUAAACUCCGUUAUUUUCUCU